GCCCCAUCGCCCAAUGGCAAAUCAUAAUGCGGAUGAAGAUAUGAUCUGCUUGAAUGAAGAACUCUCGACCUCGUGUGAGCGAGGGACCACGAUCCUGCCCGGUGGAAAAAAAGGCAACAAACGUUCCUUUAGUGACACGGAGGCCUUACCUCCCCCAUCAAAAGCUCUGUUCUUUCGUUCUGCCGACGCAAGUGGCAACGACGUAGGCCGAUUAAAGGAGAGCUGCAACGAUAAUCCAGGAGCAACUUGGGGGACUGUGAUUCAUCGAAUUCGCAAGGCACGUAUGCCCAGGUGGCUGCAAGAACAAAUGCUCCGCAGAGACAGCGCAAUUCACAACAUUAUCGUGAUCCCAGCGUUCGCAAGUCCGCACCUCUUACCUCUUCCAACGGAAUUCAGGCUCAGAAUCAGGGAGUCGACCGAGAGUUCUUGUCUGCGCCUAAUGGGCAUUUACCCUCCUUCUCAGGCAACGGAGUUUACUUUCAACAAAAUCUCCCUUACAUGACGGCGUCUGGUGCUGGUGGGGCGGGUGUCCCCCCUGAUCUCUCUUUUACUCGGAAACUCCAGCGGUGAGCUUGGUGGCCCCGCCGGAUUUGAAGCUCUUCUGGAUCUGCUUGGCUCGUGCGGCGUGUUAGAUCAAGAACCGACCCUCCCUCCUUGCCUAUGAACCUGUAACGUCCGCCGCCAGUACUACAUCGC